rnacentral:rRNA from 1 species
CCUACGGGUGGCAGCAGUGAGGAAUAUUGGUCAAUGGGCGCGAGCCUGAACCAGCCAAGUCGCGUGAAGGAUGACUGCCCUACGGGUUGUAAACUUCUUUUAUAAAGGAAUAAAGUGAGCCACGUGUGCCUUGUUGUAUGUACUUUAUGAAUAAGGAUCGGCUAACUCCGUGCCAGCAGCCGCGGUAAUACGGAGGAUUCGAGCGUUAUCCGGAUUUAUUGGGUUUAAAGGGGGCGUAGAGGGGUUUUUAAGUGAGUGGGGAAAGUUUCGGGCUCAACCGUAAAAUUGCAAUUGAUACUGGAAGUCUCGAGUGCAGUUGAGGUAGGCGGAAUAAGUGAAGUAGCGGUGAAAUGCUUAGAUAUCACGAAGAACUCCGAUUGCGAAGGCAGCUUACUAGACUGCCACUGACAUUGAUGCACGAAAGUGUGGGUAUCGAACAGGAUUAGAUACCCUUGUAGUC